CUAGAUAGAAAAUGUGAUUGUUGGGAAUCACUGGUCUAGAUUUUUUUCUAUCUAGACCAGUGAUUCCCAACAAUCACAUUUUCUAUCUAGACC
rnacentral:pre_miRNA from 1 species